rnacentral:rRNA from 1 species
GGACGAACGCUGGCGGCGUGCCUAAUACAUGCAAGUCGAGCGAGCGGAACUAACAGAUUUACUUCGGUAAUGACGUUAGGAAAGCGAGCGGCGGAUGGGUGAGUAACACGUGGGGAAUCUGCCCCAUAGUCUGGGAUACCACUUGGAAACAGGUGCUAAUACCGGAUAAGAAAGCAGAUCGCAUGAUCAGCUUUUAAAAGGCGGCGUAAGCUGUCGCUAUGGGAUGGCCCCGCGGUGCAUUAGCUAGUUGGUAAGGUAAAGGCUUACCAAGGCGAUGAUGCAUAGCCGAGUUGAGAGACUGAUCGGCCACAUUGGGACUGAGACACGGCCCAAACUCCUACGGGAGGCAGCAGUAGGGAAUCUUCCACAAUGGCGCAAGCCUGAUGGAGCAACACCGCGUGAGUGAAGAAGGGUUUCGGCUCGUAAAGCUCUGUUGUUGGAGAAGAACGUGCGUGAGAGUAACUGUUCACGCAGUGACGGUAUCCAACCAGAAAGUCACGGCUAACUACGUGCCAGCAGCCGCGGUAAUACGUAGGUGGCAAGCGUUAUCCGGAUUUAUUGGGCGUAAAGCGAGCGCAGGCGGUUGCUUAGGUCUGAUGUGAAAGCCUUCGGCUUAACCGAAGAAGUGCAUCGGAAACCGGGCGACUUGAGUGCAGAAGAGGACAGUGGAACUCCAUGUGUAGCGGUGGAAUGCGUAGAUAUAUGGAAGAACACCAGUGGCGAAGGCGGCUGUCUGGUCUGCAACUGACGCUGAGGCUCGAAAGCAUGGGUAGCGAACAGGAUUAGAUACCCUGGUAGUCCAUGCCGUAAACGAUGAGUGCUAGGUGUUGGAGGGUUUCCGCCCUUCAGUGCCGGAGCUAACGCAUUAAGCACUCCGCCUGGGGAGUACGACCGCAAGGUUGAAACUCAAAGGAAUUGACGGGGGCCCGCACAGCGGUGGAGCAUGUGGUUUAAUUCGAAGCUACGC